GACGAACGCUGGCGGCGUGCCUAAUACAUGCAAGUCGAACGAACUCUGGUAUUGAUUGGUGCUUGCAUCAUGAUUUACAUUUGAGUGAGUGGCGAACUGGUGAGUAACACGUGGGAAACCUGCCCAGAAGCGGGGGAUAACACCUGGAAACAGAUGCUAAUACCGCAUAACAACUUGGACCGCAUGGUCCGAGUUUGAAAGAUGGCUUCGGCUAUCACUUUUGGAUGGUCCCGCGGCGUAUUAGCUAGAUGGUGAGGUAACGGCUCACCAUGGCAAUGAUACGUAGCCGACCUGAGAGGGUAAUCGGCCACAUUGGGACUGAGACACGGCCCAAACUCCUACGGGAGGCAGCAGUAGGGAAUCUUUCACAAUGGACGAAAGUCUGAUGGAGCAACGCCGCGUGAGUGAAGAAGGGUUUCGGCUCGUAAAACUCUGUUGUUAAAGAAGAACAUAUCUGAGAGUAACUGUUCAGGUAUUGACGGUAUUUAACCAGAAAGCCACGGCUAACUACCUGCCAGCAGCCGCGGUAAUACGUAGGUGGCAAGCGUUGUCCGGAUUUAUUGGGCGUAAAGCGAGCGCAGGCGGUUUUUUAAGUCUGAUGUGAAAGCCUUCGGCUCAACCGAAGAAGUGCAUCGGAAACUGGGAAACUUGAGUGCAGAAGAGGACAGUGGAACUCCAUGUGUAGCGGUGAAAUGCGUAGAUAUAUGGAAGAACACCAGUGGCGAAGGCGGCUGUCUGGUCUGUAACUGACGCUGAGGCUCGAAAGUAUGGGUAGCAAACAGGAUUAGAUACCCUGGUAGUCCAUACCGUAAACGAUGAAUGCUAAGUGUUGGAGGGUUUCCGCCCUUCAGUGCUGCAGCUAACGCAUUAAGCAUUCCGCCUGGGGAGUACGGCCGCAAGGCUGAAACUCAAAGGAAUUGACGGGGGCCCGCACAAGCGGUGGAGCAUGUGGUUUAAUUCGAAGCUACGCGAAGAACCUUACCAGGUCUUGACAUACUAUGCAAAUCUAAGAGAUUAGACGUUCCCUUCGGGGACAUGGAUACAGGUGGUGCAUGGUUGUCGUCAGCUCGUGUCGUGAGAUGUUGGGUUAAGUCCCGCAACGAGCGCAACCCUUAUUAUCAGUUGCCAGCAUUAAGUUGGGCACUCUGGUGAGACUGCCGGUGACAAACCGGAGGAAGGUGGGGAUGACGUCAAAUCAUCAUGCCCCUUAUGACCUGGGCUACACACGUGCUACAAUGGAUGGUACAACGAGUUGCGAACUCGCGAGAGUAAGCUAAUCUCUUAAAGCCAUUCUCAGUUCGGAUUGUAGGCUGCAACUCGCCUACAUGAAGUCGGAAUCGCUAGUAAUCGCGGAUCAGCAUGCCGCGGUGAAUACGUUCCCGGGCCUUGUACACACCGCCCGUCACACCAUGAGAGUUUGUAACACCCAAAGUCGGUGGGGUAACCUUUUAGGAACCAGCCGCCUAAGGUGGGACAGAUGAUUAGGGUG
rnacentral:rRNA from 1 species